AGCGAACGCUGGCGGCAGGCCUAACGCAUGCAAGUCGAGCGCCGUAGCAAUACGGAGCGGCAGACGGGUGAGUAACGCGUGGGAACGUGCCCUUCGGUUCGGAAUAACCCAGGGAAACUUGGGCUAAUACCGGAUACGUCCGAAAGGAGAAAGAUUUAUCGCCGAAGGAUCGGCCCGCGUAAGAUUAGCUAGUUGGUGAGGUAACGGCUCACCAAGGCUAUGAUCUUUAGCUGGUCUGAGAGGACGAUCAGCCACACUGGGACUGAGACACGGCCCAGACUCCUACGGGAGGCAGCAGUGGGGAAUAUUGGACAAUGGGCGCAAGCCUGAUCCAGCCAUGCCGCGUGAGUGAUGAAGGCCUUAGGGUUGUAAAGCUCUUUUGGCAGGGACGAUAAUGACUGUACCUGCAGAAUAAGCCCCGGCCAACUUCGUGCCAGCAGCCGCCGCCGUAA
rnacentral:rRNA from 1 species